UACGGAGGGGGCAAGCGUUGUUCGGAAUUACUGGGCGUAAAGGGCGCGCAGGCGGCUGCUCAAGUCAGGCGUGAAAGGCCUGGGCUCAACCCGGGAAUUGCGCUUGAGACUGGGCUGGCUUGAGUGCGGGAGAGGAUGGUGGAAUUCCCAGUGUAGAGGUGAAAUUCGUAGAUAUUGGGAAGAACACCGGUGGCGAAGGCGGCUCACUGGCCCGAUACUGACGCUGAGGUGCGAAAGCGUGGGGAGCAAACAGG
rnacentral:rRNA from 1 species